rnacentral:rRNA from 1 species
CAACGCCCUUCGGGGCUUCUUGGUGAUUCAUGAUAACUUUACGGAUCGCAUGGCCUUGCGCCGGCGACGGUUCAUUCAAAUUUCUGCCCUAUCAACUUUCGAUGGUAAGGUAUUGGCUUACCAUGGUUUCAACGGGUAACGGGGAAUUAGGGUUCGAUUCCGGAGAGGGAGCCUGAGAAACGGCUACCACAUCCAAGGAAGGCAGCAGGCGCGCAAAUUACCCAAUCCCGACACGGGGAGGUAGUGACAAUAAAUACUGAUACAGGGCUCUUUUGGGUCUUGUAAUUGGAAUGAGUACAAUUUAAACCUCUUAACGAGGAACAAUUGGAGGGCAAGUCUGGUGCCAGCAGCCGCGGUAAUUCCAGCUCCAAUAGCGUAUAUUAAAGUUGUUGCAGUUAAAAAGCUCGUAGUUGAAACUUGGGUCUGGCUGGCAGGUCCGCCUCACCGCGUGUACUUGUCCGGCCGGGCCUUCCUUCUGGAGAACCUCAUGCCCUUCACUGGGCGUGUUGGGGACCAGGACUUUUACUUUGAAAAAAUUAGAGUGUUCAAAGCAGGCCUUUGCUCGAAUACGUUAGCAUGGAAUAAUAGAAUAGGACGUGCGGUCCUAUUUUGUUGGUUUCUAGGACCGCCGUAAUGAUUAAUAGGGACAGUCGGGGGCAUCAGUAUUCAAUUGUCAGAGGUGAAAUUCUUGGAUUUAUUGAAGACUAACUACUGCGAAAGCAUUUGCCAAGGAUGUUUUCAUUAAUCAGUGAACGAAAGUUAGGGGAUCGAAGACGAUCAGAUACCGUCGUAGUCUUAACCGUAAACUAUGCCGACUAGGGAUCGGGCGAUGUUCUUUUUCUGACUCGCUCGGCACCUUACGAGAAAUCAAAG